rnacentral:rRNA from 1 species
AGACCCGAAACCCGGUGAUCUAGCCAUGGGCAGGUUGAAGGUUGGGUAACACUAACUGGAGGACCGAACCGACUAAUGUUGAAAAAUUAGCGGAUGACCUGUGGCUGGGGGUGAAAGGCCAAUCAAACCGGGAGAUAGCUGGUUCUCCCCGAAAGCUAUUUAGGUAGCGCCUCGUGAAUUCAUCUCCGGGGGUAGAGCACUGUUUCGGCUAGGGGGCCAUCCCGGCUUACCAACCCGAUGCAAACUGCGAAUACCGGAGAAUGUUAUCACGGGAGACACACGGCGGGUGCUAACGUCCGUCGUGAAGAGGGAAACAACCCAGACCGCCAGCUAAGGUCCCAAAGUCAUGGUUAAGUGGGAAACGAUGUGGGAAGGCCCAGACAGCCAGGAUGUUGGCUUAGAAGCAGCCAUCAUUUAAAGAAAGCGUAAUAGCUCACUGGUCGAGUCGGCCUGCGCGGAAGAUGUAACGGGGCUAAACCAUGCACCGAAGCUGCGGCAGCGACGCUGAUGCGUUGUUGGGUAGGGGAGCGUUCUGUAAGCCUGUGAAGGUGGCCUGUGAGGGUUGCUGGAGGUAUCAGAAGUGCGAAUGCUGACAUAAGUAACGAUAAAGCGGGUGAAAAGCCCGCUCGCCGGAAGACCAAGGGUUCCUGUCCAACGUUAAUCGGGGCAGGGUGAGUCGACCCCUAAGGCGAGGCCGAAAGGCGUAGUCGAUGGGAAACGGGUUAAUAUUCCCGUACUUGGUGUUACUGCGAAGGGGGGACGGAGAAGGCUAUGUUGGCCGGGCGACGGUUGUCCCGGUUUAAGCGUGUAGGUGUGUGUUCCAGGUAAAUCCGGUUCACUUUAACACUGAGGCGUGAUGACGAGGCACUACGGUGCUGAAGCAACAAAUGCCCUGCUUCCAGGAAAAGCCUCUAAGCAUCAGGUAACAUCAAAUCGUACCCCAAACCGACACAGGUGGUCAGGUAGAGAAUACCAAGGCGCUUGAGAGAACUCGGGUGAAGGAACUAGGCAAAAUGGUGCCGUAACUUCGGGAGAAGGCACGCUGACACGUAGGUGAAGUGAUUUACUCAUGGAGCUGAAGUCAGUCGAAGAUACCAGCUGGCUGCAACUGUUUAUUAAAAACACAGCACUGUGCAAACACGAAAGUGGACGUAUACGGUGUGACGCCUGCCCGGUGCCGGAAGGUUAAUUGAUGGGGUCAGCGCAAGCGAAGCUCCUGAUCGAAGCCCCGGUAAACGGCGGCCGUAACUAUAACGGUCCUAAGGUAGCGAAAUUCCUUGUCGGGUAAGUUCCGACCUGCACGAAUGGCGUAAUGAUGGCCAGGCUGUCUCCACCCGAGACUCAGUGAAAUUGAACUCGCUGUGAAGAUGCAGUGUACCCGCGGCAAGACGGAAAGACCCCGUGAACCUUUACUAUAGCUUGACACUGAACAUUGAGCCUUGAUGUGUAGGAUAGGUGGGAGGCUUUGAAGUGUGGACGCCAGUCUGCAUGGAGCCGGCCUUGAAAUACCACCCUUUAAUGUUUGAUGUUCUAACGUGGACCCGUGAUCCGGGUUGCGGACAGUGUCUGGUGGGUAGUUUGACUGGGGCGGUCUCCUCCUAAAGAGUAACGGAGGAGCACGAAGGUUGGCUAAUCCUGGUCGGACAUCAGGAGGUUAGUGCAAUGGCAUAAGCCAGCUUGACUGCGAGCGUGACGGCGCGAGCAGGUGCGAAAGCAGGUCAUAGUGAUCCGGUGGUUCUGAAUGGAAGGGCCAUCGCUCAACGGAUAAAAGGUACUCCGGGGAUAACAGGCUGAUACCGCCCAAGAGUUCAUAUCGACGGCGGUGUUUGGCACCUCGAUGUCGGCUCAUCACAUCCUGGGGCUGAAGUAGGUCCCAAGGGUAUGGCUGUUCGCCAUUUAAAGUGGUACGCGAGCUGGGUUUAGAACGUCGUGAGACAGUUCGGUCCCUAUCUGCCGUGGGCGCUGGAGAACUGAGGGGGGCUGCUCCUAGUACGAGAGGACCGGAGUGGACGCAUCACUGGUGUUCGGGUUGUCAUGCCAAUGGCACUGCCCGGUAGCUAAAUGCGGAAGAGAUAAGUGCUGAAAGCAUCUAAGCACGAAACUUGCCCCGAGAUGAGUUCUCCCUGAGACUUAGAGUCUCCUGAAGGAACGUUGAAGACGACGACGUUGAUAGGCCGGGUGUGUAAGCGCAGCGAUGCGUUGAGCUAACCGGUACUAAUGAACCGUGAGGCUUAACCUU